rnacentral:lncRNA from 1 species
UUCCACAUCUUCUACAAUAGGGACAGUAAUAGGUGGUGCACAGAGUGGGGAGGGAGUUAGAAGGGAAAGGACAGAGCACAAAAGAGGCAGCUGAGAAGUUGGGUUCCUCUGCCCUUCCUCCCUCUGUCUCAGCGCCAUCCCCCCCACUACUCUUUCCCCUCAACAGCGCUCCUCUUGCGGUCCUGCUGAAUAGUCAUCCAUUUGGAGGCUCUGGAUGGAGCUUUUGGUUUAAAGAGGAGGCCAGGAGAUGUAGAACAGCGAUAAGGAAAUGCACAUUAGAGAUAAAGGACCUGCUUAAUCAGUCACAAAGACCUGUCAAAGAACAGUUGUGAGUGCUUGUUCCUAAUGCUCCCUCCGUGGCAGGACUGGAGCCCCAGGGAGAGAAGGGAACUAAGCAGCUUCUCGCAUCCAUUCAUUCAACCACUGGGCAAACAUUGACCGAGCAGUUAUAUAGAGAGCGGCACCCACAGUAUUUGGUGACGAGACUGCCUCUGCCAUUGGGAGGUGUAUCCCAGUGAUAGACGCACUCAAGUCCUGGAGCAUUUCAACACAGUGCGCCACAUGCUGAGACAGGGGCUCAGCCCAGGGAGGCCACCUGGCCUUCGUGAAGCGGGAAGGGAAAGGUCUUCCAGGCCCAGCGGGUGUGUGCACCUGUGCAAAGGCCUCUGCAAAGCACGAGCCUGGCCGGUUUGGAGAACUGCAAAGAGGUCUCUCAUCCAGAGUGCAGAGAACACUGGCAGGGAUUGUGGCUGGAGAAAUGAAACGGAAUCCUGGGUGAUGCAGGUCCUCAGACAGCAGGGCUUUUAAAAGAUUCUGAGACAGCCAGUCCUCCCCUCCCUGCUGCUGGAGGAAGGCUCUUGAGAACAACACAGCAACCGUCAGACCAGGAAGGGCAGGCAGUCCUCCUGCUGUCCUGUCAACAGGUGGAAAUAAAAGUCCUUCACCCCAACAAGGCCACGGACCCCACGUCUGACGUAUAGAAAAGGCUGGCCAAAACAUGCACAAUCACACGAGAGGCCUUUUUUUUCCUACUUUUUUUUUUUAAGUUUUUAUUAUUAUUAUUUUUUAGAGAUAUGGUCUUGCUCUGUCGCCUGGACUGGAGUGCAGUGGUGUGAUUAUGGCUCACUGCAGCCUCAAACUUCUGCGCUCAAGCAAUUCUUCUGCUUCAGCCUCCCAAAGUGCUGGGAUUACAGGUGUGAGCCACCACGUCUGGCCCAGAGGGCCAUCUUUUGUCUUUGGAUUCAGAGCCCACUUUGAAGGUGGCAAGUCACAGAUGUUGGCAUAAUUGAUGAUGAUUCCUGGGGCAGCCAAAGGAAAGGACCAAAAUACAGACAGUCUCACCAGGCAUGACAGCAGUGAUAAAGAAAAAGCCACUCCCUUUUCCCCGCAGAAAAGAAAAUGAAAAAUAGGAAUGGAAGAAAGAAAACUACGGAGAGUUGUAAAGAUAAAUGUCGGUGCUUACAAAGUAUGGGAGUCUGGGCGUGGUGGCUCACGCCUGUAAUCCCAGCACUUUCAGAGGCUGAGGCGGGCGGAUCAGUUGAGAUCAGACGUUCGAGACCAGCCUGGUCAACAUGGUGAAACCUCCUCUCUACUAAAAAUACAAAAAUUAGCCAGCAGGCUAAUUUUUAUAUUUAAUUUUUAAAUUAGUGGCGGGUGCCUGUAAUCUCAGCUACUCAGGAGGCUGAGGCAUGAGAACCACUUGAACCCGGGAGGUGGAGGUUGUGGUGAAUGGAGGUGGCACCACUGCACUCCAGCCUGGGUGACAGAGCGAGAUUCCCGUCUCAAAAAAAACAAAAAAAGAGUGUGUGGGAGAUGAGAAACAGAAAGAUGGGAGGCAAGUGGCUUGGGCUUGAUCCCUCGGGAUGUUUCAGUGUUGCACUGAAAAUGAGGAGCUAGGCCGGGCGCGGUGGCUCAUGCCUGUAAUCCCAGCACUUUGGGAGGCCAAGGUGGGUGGAUCACAAGGUCAGGAGUUCAAGACCAGCCUGGCCAAGAUGAUGAAACCCCAUCUCUACUAAAAAAUAGAAAAAUUAGCCCGGUGUGGUGGUGGGUGCCUAUAAUCCCAGCUACUUGGGAGGCUGAGUCAGAGAAUUGCUUGAACCCGGAAGGCAGAGGUUGCAGUGAGCCGAGAUUGCGCCAUUGCACUCCAGCCUGGGCGACAGAGUGAGACUCCAUCU